GGGGUUGUGGCUCAGUGGUAGAGCACUCGCCUAGCAUGUGCAGGGAGGGCCCUGGGUUCAAUCCUCAGCACCACCU
rnacentral:tRNA from 1 species